AAGUUUCAUUAGUCAUCAAGCAUCCAAAUAUGGCUCUAAAAAAAAAAAAAAAACAAAAAAACCCCAAAUAUGUCUCUGAAUUUCUAUUUGUCUGUGGUUCCUUGUGCUCCCAAACUCUAAUUCUGAGCUACUUUAAUCAUGGAACACAUAGGUAAAAAACAAAUCAGCUUAUAAGGCCAUGUGCUGGGACACUAUUAUAGGAUUUAGUAGAGAUAUUGCCCUUUAUUCUUUUUUUUUCAUCACUAAACACAUGAGACAUCUGUCCCAGAAGACAGAUUUUUGAUGUUUGUUGUUUUUCAGUUAAUGCUUGUAUUUAUUUUCUUGUAGAAAUGAAUUACCUUCUUUUUUGAGAAUGCUUCCAAGUAUCAUAUUUCUUGUGACUACUGAUGAAAAGUAGAGACUAUGACUGGUGUUUAAUAUAUUUGAGAGGGAUUUAAAGGAAGGAUAAGAUUGAGGGUUUUUUUUUUUUUUCCUAAUUCCCUUCCUAUAAUUUUGCCCAUUUAUUCAGCAAGUAUUCAUGAAGUGCCUGCUUUCUCCUAGCAUAGACGACAGGAAGAGUAUUCCUGGUAGAGGGAGAAGGAAGGUGUGGAAAGAAGGCCGACAAGGCAAGUUGAAGACAAGAUUCCCGACUGGGAGAAAUUCAGUGCCCACCAAAGUCAUGUCCACUCAAACAGGGACAGAGGAUCUGCUACCUGCUGGAAGACACGAAAGGUGACUUGUGCUAAGGUGCGCUCCGCCUGUCGCGCCGCAAGCCGCACGGGGGGGGGUGGCCCGCGCGUCCUGCAGCGUCGGGGACAGCCGGCCC
rnacentral:lncRNA from 12 species